rnacentral:rRNA from 1 species
GUCGUACGGGCGUAGCAAUACGCCAGUGGCGAAAGGGACAGUAAUAUGUAGGUUACCUGCCUUCAGGACAGGGAUAGCGGCGGGAAACUGCCGGUAAUACCUGAUAAUAUCUCCGGAUCAAAGGUGUGAAUCCGCCUGAAGAUGGGCCUAUAUCCUAUUAGCUUGUUGGUAAGGUAAUGGCUUACCAAGGCGAUGAUGGGUAGCGGGUGUGAGAGCACGACCCGCGUCAUUGGGACUGAGACACUGCCCAGACACCUACGGGUGGCUGCAGUCGAGAAUCUUCGGCAAUGGGCGCAAGCCUGACCGAGCGACGCCGCGUGCGGGAUGAAGGCCUUCGGGUUGUAAACCGCUGUCAGUGGGGAGGAAGGCCGUGUGAAGAGCACGGUUUGACCUAUCCGCAGAGGAAGUGUGGGCUAAGCUCGUGCCAGCAGCCGCGGUAAGACGAGCCACACAAACGUUAUUCGGAAUCACUGGGCUUAAAGGGUGCGUAGGCGGCGCGGCAAGUUGGAUGUGAAAUCCCUCAGCUUAACUGAGGAACUGCGUUCAAAACUGCCGUGCUCGAGGGAGAUAGAGGAGUGCGGAACUUACGGUGGAGCGGUGAAAUGCGUUGAUAUCGUAGGGAACACCGGUGGCGAAAGCGGCACUCUGGAUCUCUUCUGACGCUGAGGCACGAAAGCUAGGGUAGCAAACGGGAUUAGAUACCCCGGUAGUCCUAGCCGUAAACGAUGAGCACUGGAUUGAAGGCUCCUCCAUAGGCUUUCAGUCGCAGAGAAAUUGUUUAGUGCUCCGCCUGGGGAGUAUGGUCGCAAG